UCGAUCCUGAGCCACAGAAGGGCGCAACUGACCAGGAACGCGAUCUCUAACUGGCCGGGUGAAGCCCUUUUGCCUAUUAGAACUCCGCAGAGGGAUGCUUCAACCCCAAAACGACCUUAAACACCCCCGAGGAGUGCUUGCUUCCACAAACUUUACGCCCUUCUUCCACUCACUGCCGAGCCAUUUAUGUCGGGUAAUAUAUGCCCACGUAUAUUCCAUGUACCUACAAACACCCACGCAACCUCCACCUUCCUCCCACACUUCGGAGUGCUCGCCUCUAGAACUGCACCAGACAACAUCUACACUCGCUUCCAUGAUUCUACCCCUACGGCCUCGCAGGGGUUCGGGGCGGCGAAGAGGGGAAAUGGAAGAAAAAGGGGGGAUGGAAAUGCCGUGGGAGUCGACGUACGAUUAUAGAAAAUACAUAAUUUAUGAAAUAUUGUGUAAAAUUUAAUUUUAUCUCGUUUCUUAUUUUCUUUGUUCCAUUUUGUUGACUUUUUUUUUAUGUUUUAGGUUAGGUUGGCUGUAGAAGGGACAGGGAGGCGUGUGCGCUCGGUGUAUAGCCUUGGCGAUGUUCUUGGUUAGGCAGUCUCGAGCGGGACCAGUACUUGGAUGGGUGACCGCUCAGGGAAGCAGCUUGUACCGGGAGGUAGUUGUGCUUCUGAUGGGCUGAGGUUCUUGGGAUUUCAGGUGAAAUUCGGGAGGCUUUUUUAGCUUUGCAACUUGGAACGAAGCCAGUACUUGGAUGGGUGACCGCUUGGCGGGGUAGAUCUGAUCGAGGAGUAAGGGGCUCUGAAUUCUUCGGAGAAACGAAAACUCGGUGUAGGCGGAAGCGACUUUAGCGGUCGGGUUUUUUGCAGUUUCCCUGGGCCCUCGUGUGUGGUCUUGAGGAAUUCUCUCGAAUCAAAGUACAUCUUUGUUUUCUGGAGAAUUCUUGGGGUUGGGGCUGAAAAAUAUUUAUUUCUAGGCGUUUAUCUUCAGCCUAUCAGGAUUACGGAAUCACCUCGAUUUCCGCAAUCCCUCAAUUUCCAAAAAAUGUUUUUUACAUUUUUUCAAAAGUUUAGUUUAUUUGUAGAGAACUGAAAUUUCAAUAAUGGGGGAAUAUCAGCGUGAAAGAGAAGAGCUUGGGCCCAAAAAUAUUUUGUUUGGUCCAGAACUAAUCGAUGCUUGCUGCGGCACUUGUGCUGUUGACCGUCGUGGAGUCUUUUUUCGAGACGCCAUUUUGGGAGCGCUCCUCUGCUUAAUGAAAUGCACUAAAUAUAAAUAAAUAAAUGUCCUCGUAUACUUCAUAACUUCAAUAAUGAAUACACAAAAUUUCGAAUCA